rnacentral:rRNA from 1 species
AUUGAACGCUGGCGGAAUGCUUUACACAUGCAAGUCGAACGGUAGAGGGGGCAACCCCUUGAGAGUGGCGAACGGGUGAGUAAUAUAUCGGAACGUGCCCAGUCGUGGGGAUAACGUAGCGAAAGUUACGCUAAUACCGCAUACGAUCUAAGGAUGAAAGCGGGGGAUCGCAAGACCUCGCGCGAUUGGAGCGGCCGAUAUCAGAUUAGGUAGUUGGUGAGGUAAAGGCUCACCGAGCCAACGAUCUGUAGCUGGUCUGAGAGGACGACCAGCCACACUGGAACUGAGACACGGUCCAGACUCCUACGGGAGGCAGCAGUGGGGAAUUUUGGACAAUGGACGCAAGUCUGAUCCAGCCAUUCCGCGUGCAGGAUGAAGGCCCUCGGGUUGUAAACUGCUUUUGUACGGAACGAAAAGGUUUCUAUUAAUACUAGGAGCUCAUGACGGUACCGUAAGAAUAAGCACCGGCUAACUACGUGCCAGCAGCCGCGGUAAAGUG